rnacentral:rRNA from 1 species
AUGAACGCUGGCGGCGUGCCUAAUACAUGCACGUCGAGCGAACAGACGAGGAGCUUGCUCCUCUGACGUUAGCGGCGGACGGGUGAGUAACACGUGGAUAACCUACCUAUAAGACUGGGAUAACUUCGGGAAACCGGAGCUAAUACCGGAUAAUAUAUUGAACCGCAUGGUUCAAUAGUGAAAGACGGUUUUGCUGUCACUUAUAGAUGGAUCCGCGCCGCAUUAGCUAGUUGGUAAGGUAACGGCUUACCAAGGCAACGAUGCGUAGCCGACCUGAGAGGGUGAUCGGCCACACUGGAACUGAGACACGGUCCAGACUCCUACGGGAGGCAGCAGUAGGGAAUCUUCCGCAAUGGGCGAAAGCCUGACGGAGCAACGCCGCGUGAGUGAUGAAGGUCUUCGGAUCGUAAAACUCUGUUAUUAGGGAAGAACAAAUGUGUAAGUAACUAUGCACGUCUUGACGGUACCUAAGCAGAAAGCCACGGCUAACUACGU